rnacentral:rRNA from 1 species
UUAUUGGAGAGUUUGAUCCUGGCUCAGGACGAACGCUGGCGGCGUGCUUAACACAUGCAAGUCGAGCGACGCCCUUCCUUCGGGAAGGUGACGGAGCGGCGAACGGGUGAGUAA